AGAAGACUACUAGGAUUCCCUCAGUAACGGCGAGUGAAGUGGGAACAGCUCAAAUUUGGAAUCUCACUGGGUUACCAGUGCGAAUUGUAGUUUAGCGAAGCGUUUUCGAGGGUGAAAUGGGUAUAAGUCCUCUGGAACGAGGCGUCAUAGAGGGUGAGAAUCCCGUUUAUGAUCCAUUUUUCACUUUCAUGUGAUACGCUUUCCAAGAGUCAGGUAGUUUGGGAUUGCUGCCUAAAAUGGGUGGUAAAUACCAUCUAAAGCUAAAUAAUGGCGAGAGACCGAUAGCAAACAAGUACCGUGAGGGAAAGAUGAAAAGAACUUUGAAAAGAGAGUUAAACAGUACGUGAAAUUGCCAAAAGGGAAACGCUUGGAACCAGUAUUGCUUACAGGCAAUCAGCCGUACGUCCUGAAAGGGUCGCGUAUGGUGCACUUGUCUGUUGGUAGGUCAACAUCAGUCUGGUUUGUGGUAAAAAGCUCUGGGAAGGUGAUUCGGACUUCGGUUCGAGUGUUAUAGCCCAGAGUCAUGCCAUGAGCUGAACUGAGGUCCGCAGUGUUUAUGGGAAACCCGGUUGCCUUUUGAACUCAAAGGUCAGACAGCAUGCUGACUGGACUUUGAUGUAGGGAGCUCAGCCGGUUACUCACUCCAACGCUUUGGAUGUUGACGAAAUGGUUCCAAACGACCCGUCUUGAAACACGGACCAAGGAGUCUAACAUAUAUGCGAGUAUUUGGGUGGCAAACCCUUAUGCGCAAUGAAAGUGAACUUAGGUGGGAUCUUCGGUGCACCAUCGACCGGUCUGGAUUUUUUUGAUAGAUCUGAGUAAGAGCAUAUCUGUUGGGACCCGAAAGAUGGUGAACUAUGCCUGAAUAGGGUGAAGCCAGAGGAAACUCUGGUGGAGGCUCGUAGCGAUUCUGACGUGCAAAUCGAUCGUCAAAUUUGGGUAUAGGGGCGAAAGACAAUCAACCUC
rnacentral:rRNA from 1 species